rnacentral:rRNA from 1 species
GUGGAUUAGAUACCCGGGUAGUCCACGCUGUAAACGAUGACGACUAGGUGUGGGGUGGUUCAGUCCAUUCCGUGCCGCAGCUAACGCAUUAAGUCGUCCGCCUGGGGAGUACGGCAGCAAGGUUGAAACUCAAAGGAAUUGACGGGGGCCCGCACAAGCGGUGGAGCAUGUGGUUCAAUUCGAUGCAGAGCGAAGAACCGUACCUGGGCUUGACAUGUAGGAAGUAGAACCCCGAAAGGGGGACGACCUGUUGAGUCAGGAGCCUAC